UAGAGUUUGAUCAUGGCUCAGAACGUACGCUGGCGGCACGCCUAACACAUGCAAGUCGAACGCAGUAGCAAUACUGAGUGGCAGACGGGUGAGUAACAUGUGGGAAUCUGCCUUGUGGUUCAGGACAACAUUGGGAAACCGAUGCUAAUACUGGAUAAGCCCUUACGGGGAAAGUUUUAAUGCCAUAAGAUGAGCCCGCAUUUGAUUAGUUAGUUGGUGAGGUAAUGGCUCACCAAGACAAUGAUCAAUAGCUGAUCUGAGAGGAUGAUCAGCCACACUGGGACUGAGACACGGCCCAGACUCCUACGGGAGGCAGCAGUGGGGAAUCUUGCACAAUGGAGGAAACUCUGAUGCAGCGAUGCCGCGUGAGUGAAGAAGGCCUUUGGGUUGUAAAGCUCUUUUGUAGGGGAAGAUAAUGACUGUACCCUAAGAAUAAGGUCCGGCUAACUUCGUGCCAGCCGCCGCGGUAAUUC
rnacentral:rRNA from 1 species